AUACUUGCCUGGCAGGGGAGAUACCAUGAUCACAAAAGUGGUUUUCCCAGGGCGAGGCUCCUCCAUGGCACUCCGGCUGUGCUGACCCUGCGAUUUCCCCAAAUGUGGGAAACUCGACUGCAUAAUUUGUGGUAGUGGAGGACUGCAUUCAUGCUCUCCCCUG